UACGAAGGGUGCAAGCGUUACUCGGAAUCACUGGGCGUAAAGCGUGCGUAGGCGGUUUCUUAAGUCUGUCGUGAAAGCCCUGGGCUCAACCUGGGAACGGCGAUGGAUACUGGGAAGCUAGAAUGUGAGAGAGGAUGGUGGAAUUCCCGGUGUAGCGGUGAAAUGCGUUGAGAUCGGGAGGAACACCAGUGGCGAAGGCGGCCAUCUGGCUCAACAUUGACGCUGAGGCACGAAAGCGUGGGGAGCAAACAGG
rnacentral:rRNA from 1 species